rnacentral:rRNA from 1 species
AUGGCGAUUGUCAAGUCGUCUGGUGAUCUUCUAAGGCUCCUCACCUUCCUCAUCUGCCUCCUCCAUCGUUGCAGUGCAGGCUAUGACGUCGAGUCGGUCGUCAGGACGCAGAACCUAUUAUCGGCUAAUCUGAAACUUGAAGGCGGGACGACGGAGUUCGGGCCUGAUGUCAAGUCGCUCGACCUAACUGCAAGCCUAGAGACGGAUAGCCGACUCCACGUGCGCAUCACCGACGCCGACCAUCCACGAUGGGAGGUCCCCCAAGACAUCAUCCCGCGGCCAACAUUAGUGUCGGAUGACGUUCUGCUCGGAUCGCCAGGCAUGGACAAUGCCACCUUGCCAAGCAGCGCCACCAUCUCCAAGGUGUCUUCGGACCUGACCUUCUCCAUCCACACCAAACCGUUCCGCUUCACCGUCUCCCGCCGCUCCACCGGUGACAUCCUCUUCGACACUUCUGCAACCCUCAUUUUCAAGGACCGGUACUUGGAGGUGACGACGGCGCUUCCAGCCGGGCGGGCAUCAUUGUACGGGUUCGGCGAGCACACGAAACGGACGUUCCGGCUCCAGCCCAAUGACACGUUCACGCUGUGGAACGAGGACCUGGAGAGGUCAGACCAACUGGACCUUAACCUCUACGGCUCGCACCCAGGGUACAUGGAUGUGCGCCCUGGCGGCAAUGCGCAUGGCGUGCUCCUCCUCAACAGCAAUGGCAUGGACAUACUGUAUGGCGGGUCCUACGUCACCUACAAGGUGAUCGGUGGCGUGCUCGACUUCUACUUCUUCACCGGCCCCUCCCCGCUUGCCGUGGUUGACCAAUACACCCAGUUCAUCGGCCGCCCUGCCCCCAUGCCAUACUGGUCAUUCGGGUUCCACCAGUGCAGGUAUGGCUACAAGAAUGUGGCUGAUCUGGAGGAGGUGGUCGCCGGCUACGCCAAGGCCAAGAUCCCACUGGAGGGGAUCUGGUCAGACAUCGACUACAUGGACGGCGGCCAGGAUUUCACGCUGGAUCCGAUCAACUUCCCGGCGAGCCGUCUCCGGCCGUUCGUCGACCGGCUCCACAGCAACGGCCAAAAGUAUGUGGUCAUCAUAGACCCGGAGAUCAAAAGACAAGCAACGCCUAACGAGGACUUUUUCCUCAAGAGAAACGGCACCAACGUGGUGGGUAGGGUGUGGCCAGGCGAGGUGUACUUCCCGGACUUCAUCAACCCACGCGCCGUGGAGUACUGGGCGCAGAAGAUCUCCAAGUUCCGGCGGACCAUCCCCGUAGACGGGCUGUGGUGCGACAUGAACGAGCCCUCCAACUUCGGGGCCUGGCAGCCGCUCAACGCGCUGGACGACCCACCAUACCACAUCAACAAUUCCGGCACGCAUCGUCCCCUCAACAACCAAACCGUGCCGGUCUCCACUGUGCACUACAAUGGCGUGUCCGAGUACGACGCGCACAACCUCUUCGGCCUCUUCCAGGCACGUGCCACGCAUGCCGCACUGCUCAAGGACACGGCACGCCGCCCCUUCGUGCUCAGCCGCUCCACCUUCCCCGGAGCGGGACGGUACGCGGCGCACUGGACCGGCGACAAUUCCGCGCGGUGGGACGAGCUUGCCAACUCCAUCAACACUAUGCUCAGCUUUGGCCUCUUUGGCAUCCCCAUGGUCGGCGCCGACCUAUGCGGCUUCAGGGGUAACACAAGCCAGGAGCUCUGCAGCCGCUGGAUCCAGCUCGGUGCAUUCUACCCGUUCGCGAGGGCGCACACGGAGAGAACCACCGAAUGA